rnacentral:rRNA from 1 species
GGAGGAAAAGAAACUAACAAGGAUUCCCCUAGUAACGGCGAGUGAAGCGGGAAAAGCUCAAAUUUGAAAUCUGGCAGCCUCAGGUUGCCCGAGUUGUAAUCUAUAGAAACGUUUUCCGCGCUGGCCCAUGUACAAGUCUCCUGGAAUGGAGCGUCAUAGAGGGUGAGAAUCCCGUCCUUGACAUGGACUACCAGUGCUUUGUGAUACGUUUUCAAAGAGUCGAGUUGUUUGGGAAUGCAGCUCAAAAUGGGUGGUAAAUUCCAUCUAAAGCUAAAUAUUGGCGAGAGACCGAUAGCGAACAAGUACCGUGAGGGAAAGAUGAAAAGCACUUUGGAAAGAGAGUUAAACAGUAUGUGAAAUUGUUGAAAGGGAAACGAUUGAAGUCAGUCAUGUCUAUUGGACUCAGCCGGUUCUGCCGGUGUACUUCCUUUAGAUGGGGUCAACAUCAGUUUUGAUCGCUGGAAAAGGGCAGGAGGAAUGUAGCACUCUCGGGUGAACUUAUAGCCUUCUGUCGUAUACAGUGGUUGGGACUGAGGAACGCAGCAUGCCUUUAUGGCCGGGGUUCGCCCACGUACAUGCUUAGGAUGUUGACAUAAUGGCUUUAAACGA